AUUGAACGCUGGCGGCAGGCCUAACACAUGCAAGUCGAACGAGUGGCGGACGGGUGAGUAAUGUCUGGGAAACUGCCCGAUGGAGGGGGAUAACUACUGGAAACGGUAGCUAAUACCGCAUACCAUCGGAUGUGCCCAGAUGGGAUUAGCUAGUAGGUGGGGUAACGGCUAACCUAGGAGACGAUCCCUAGCUGGUCUGAGAGGAUGACCAGCAAAACUGGAACUGAGACACGGCCCAGACUCCGACGGGAGGCAGAAGUGGGGAAUAUUGCACAAGGGGCGCAAGCCUGAUGCAGCCAUGCCGCGGGUAUGAAGAAGGCCUUAGGGUUGUAAAGUACUUUCAUCGGGGAGGCGUUACCGGCAGAAGAAGCACCGGCUAACUCCGUGCCAGCAGCCGCGGUAAUAC
rnacentral:rRNA from 1 species